ensembl:lncRNA
CGAAUCUGCGGAUGCAACAUCUGGAGCACGGGGAGUGGAGUCUGUAAAUAAAUCUAACCACCAAAAACCAGUUAACGUGGAACACCCUGCGUGAAAACGGGGCAGAAACGUGGGGCAGGUCUGUAAAUGUAAAUAUGAAUUGUAACACUUUUCCCAUUUCCAUAAUCUGCUGAUAUGAUAUGAUUGGGCUGUUAAACCUACAGGGGAACUACGAACAUUAUGGUGUUGUACUAUCGAGUUGUCUUGCAUGAAGACCACAGAUAAGCGCCAUAAAUCAAACUCAUGUCAGGUCUAAUGGGUCGAAGUGCGUUUAAGGUUCGCUUACAUUACCCUUUCUAAAAUCUGUUGCCGUGUUGCGAGCCUUUUGAAUUGUCGUGAAUUGAUUUACACUUCGGGUAAGCUGGGACAAGAAAUGGAAUUUCAACUUUUGCAUUGAAGUUGUUUGUUUUUCUUCUGUGGUUCUCGUUUACUUGACCUGCAUGAAACAACACAGUAUGAACGUUGACAUGUGCUUCAGUCAUCCGCAGUGACAUUAUUAAGUGCAGGUGGGUUCUCGUCACUGCUCUUCUUCUUUUUUUAUAUAUAUAUAGAGAGAGAGAUAUAUAUUUAGUUUUUGUUUGCAUUUGUCCUCCACCUCUACUCAUUCGCCCAACGAGGUCGUGACAGAGAAGACAAACGUACUUUGGCAACAAAACGUCCAACGGUAGGAGAACUGCGAAAAUACGUGACAGAAAACUUAUAUUAAAUUCCAUACCAGAACUAUUUGAUAUACAGAUCGCGUUUAUCAGUUUAUUAUCAAGAGUUAUUAAGUGCUCAUAUGAUUUUUAAAAUUAUUCUCGAGUGAAAGCGCCUUUCUGAAUAAUGGUACGUCCUAUAAAACCCCACUAGAGAGUGCUGUGGUACAAUUUUAAGGACAACCAUCACUAAGCUAUUCCAAUUCUUUAUGAAAGCUAUUCAUAAGUAAAUGGUUUUGUGUUUGUGAAUUAUGUAAAAAGCCAUGUACUAAUGUUCUGAAAGUCCUAAGCCAUUAAAUACAAAUAUACACAUCAGCCAACUUUAAUAAGUGCCUUCAAAUUUGCCUUCAAAUGGACCAAGCAGCCAAGAACGUCCAAGCACAGAUAUAAUCUUUAAAUUAUGUUUUUUUUUUAUUAUAUCCCAGAAAAGAUAAGAGGUUAUUUCAAAAAUACACAAUAAUAGAAAUAAGCUAUUUUAAGAACUAUGUAGGCCUAUAAAAGAGGUAAACUAAACAGACUUCUACUCAAAAAAUAUCAUAACUCAACAAACUGACCUAUUUAGUAACUGAAUAAACCUUCUUUUAGCAUCAGAUUUUGUUUUGGGGUAUUUCGGUGGGCCUAUGUGAAAUGUAGCUUCAGUUUCCUGUUCUUAACUUAUGUGGUCUGCUGCUGCUGUAGCUCAUCUGCUUCAAGUUUCAACCUGCUGUGCUCUUCUGCAUACCUUGGCUAUAAUGAGUGGCUAUUUGAAUUACUGUUGUCUUCCUAUCAACUCAAAGCAGUCUGUCCAUUCUUCUUUGACCUCUGACAUCAAGUAGACAUUUUCACCCAGAGAAACUCAAGACUUUCAGUCUGCCUUGAAGCAUUCCAAGGGUGUAUAGUAUACCCAGAACAUGGUUGAGACACAUCUCUCGGCUGGCCUGGGAACAACUCAGCGUUUCUCCGGAUAAGCUGAAGAAGGUGGCUGGGGAGGGGGAAGUUUGUGCUCUCUGCUUAGGCUACUGUCCCCACAACUUGACCCUGACUAAGCAGAAGAGGAUGGAUGGACGAACAGAUGGAAAAAUAUUCUCUGCAAACUCCAGAGAAACCCGAGAGAUUGUUGUGUGGAAAAAUCCCAGUAAAUCCCAGUGAGUCCCCGGAGUUUUUGAACUUCUCAGACCAGUCCUUCUGGCACCAAUAACCAAGCCGCAUUCAAAGUCACUUAAAUCACUUUUCUUCUUCAUUCUGAUGCCCAGUUUUAAUGUUGUGGCUCACUUCAUGAGCCACAACAUUAAUUAAAACCCUGUGAAAGAUGUAGUGAAAAAUGUCAUCAUCAUCAUCACAUCACGAUGCAGUUUUCUGGUGUCAAAAUUUUGGUCCUGUCAUUUAUGUGGAUUUUUCUUUGAAUGUCCACUCCACUCAUCAUGCACUCAAGCCUUUUUGCCUCUGAUGCUUAGUUUGAUCCUUUGUGCACAGAAGGAGGGUGAAUGAAGCAUCAAAUAACUCGUUUUUAUGUGCAUGUGAAAUGAGACUAAAGCAGAAAGCCUGGGUUAACAGAAAAAGACCUAAUAUUGUUAAUAAUUACGGCUUAAGUAAAACAUUAUUAAAUUAAGUAGUUACAACUAAAAGUCUUUACAAAAUGAGCUUUAAUAUGACACACUUCUGAAAACUGCAAUCGUAACUUUGUGCCAUCAUUUCUCUGAAAACAAUUUAUACUGUUUUCUAUUACUUAUGUUUUGUUACUUAUAAUUUAUAUUUUUUAUGUUUGCAGGUAGGAAAGAUAAAGCCAUAAAGAAUGUAAGAUCCUAAGUAUAAUGCAAAAGUUAAGUAUAUCCUCUUGAAGAUCACAAACUAAGUGUACUUUUAAUGAAUCUUAACAUAAUAUAUGUUGCUUUUAAAGGUCUGAUAUAAAAUAUUACAUGUCACUGUCUGUGACUGUGGGUGUCAUGUUGGUGGGCCUGCUCUACUCCAUCUGUUUAGCCUGUCAGUGGAUUUAUGGUUGGCCUGACAAGCCUGGGUAUAAGAAGUACAUAGAAGCUCUUAAUCCAAGGCGAAUAUAUCGUCUGACCCUCACUACACUGGAUCUUCUCAAAUACCUGCAGUAUUGGAAAGUUUACUUUCAGCUGAAGUCAUGGUAUAACGAUGAGAGGAAUCUAAAGUAUUAUGAAAAGGGCAUCACGUUUGGCCGCAGAGGCAACAAGCUGGACUUAUACCACCCUCCAAAUGUAAGGAAGCUGCCAUCACCGGCGGUAGUAUUUGUCUACGGAGGUGCAUGGGGCACAGGAGAAAGGUCCACUUACUGUUUACUGGGGAGUCGGAUGGCUGAAGAACUGAAAGCAACUGUAAUUUGUCCUGAUUACUGCACAUAUCCAAAGGGGAAUGUUUUAGGGAUGGUCCAAGAUAUCACUGACUGCUUGAUUUGGGCCCACCAGAAUGGAGAGAAAUUCAACUUUGACAAAGAUAACAUUGUAUUAAUUGGGCAUUCAGCAGGUGCACAUUUGUGUACACUCACCACACUGUUUCUUGUUGAUACAAGAGAGGAGCUUUCCAUAGAGCCAGGCAAGCAGCAGGAAGUCUUGCUCUCGAUAAGAGGAAUUAUUGGUCUGAGCGGCGUCUACAACAUCGUGGACCAUUAUGAGCAUGAACAGAAACGAGGAGUUGAACGAGUGUCCCCCAUGCACAAAGCGAUGAAUGGUGUGGAAAACCUUCCAUACUACUCACCAACACACUUACUAAAGAAGCUCAGCCAGGACAAAGUCAACAGAUUGCCUCCAUUCGCUUUGCUCCAUGGGACCAAUGACAUUAUGGUUCCUGCUGAAUCUACCAUAAGAUUCUCUGAGCUUCUCACUUUGCGCUCUGUUAAGAUGUCAUUGAAUGUUCUUCAUGGAGUCGCCCACACUGAGACUGCUGUUGAUCUCAUGGUGUUAAACAGACGCCUCUACCGUCCAAUCUACAGAUACAUCAAAGAAGAGUUUAGAAAAUUUCUGGGUACCUGCUGACUGCAUGUGAUUAGAAAAGUAUUCACACAGCUCCAGUAUGUGCUGAAUUGUACUGUACUGUAAAUUAAAAUCAACCAUUUAAUUAUGAGUUUGACUUGAUUCUCUGAAGCUCUGAUUUUAUAAAACUAAUAUGAUAUUUUUAACAGUACUUUAAUUAUUUUGGAGAGAUGCUCUUUAUAGUGCUGUCAAAUAAGUAAUCACAAAGUGAAAUCAAUUAUAGAACAGUAGGGUUUAUUAGGAAGCUACACACAAUAUUCAAAUCCAGUUACAAAAU